CCUAGGUUGAUCGGGUUUCUGAGUAUUCUCUUGAGGGAACAUUCAAUGCUCACACAAGCUGCCUCUGGCAGAUACAGAAAAAAACCACAGGACAGCUAGUUGUGACCCAAUGAAUUGUUGUGAGGCUCUGAUCAAAGACUCCAGCUUAACUCUAAGAACCAAGAGAAAAGAAAUGUAUGCAUCCAGGAAGCAAUUAAUAUGGAACUGAGGCAAAUAUUGACUCAAGGCAAGAAACAGAACACCCAAAAGUAUGCAGAGCGAUAAGUCCAAGCUGUAAAGGGAGAUCAUUUGUAAGGAGAGAUCGAAAGCUUUAACACUAGAACCUAAAUACACAUAAACACAUCACCCUGCAUGCCCACUGUUGGGUGAAGAAGCCGUUUGCUUUCAAUGCGUAUGAGCACUGGAGAAGCAGGGCUGCCACUGCCGCAAGGGAGGCCCUGCUGCCUGGACCCAUCCAGCUGGCGUGUCUCGGGACAUUCACCGGGCUGCAGAUGUUGUGGGCGUGCCCAGAAUGCUCUACCCUCCCCGCUGCUACAGCAGGACCCAGUGAGAGGUGUCCCUGAGGGGCAGUGGGACCCCACCCUCUUCUUCCUCUUUGCUUUCCUGGCUCCUGCGGUGAGCACCUCGCUCCGCCAUGCGCUGUGUUCACGAUGUGGUCCCUCACUAGAGGUCUGGACAAUGGAGCCAUCUCAUUAGGGACUGGAGCCUCUAAACCAUGAG
ensembl:lncRNA